rnacentral:lncRNA from 1 species
GCCCACCGAAGCUUAUUCUUCGGAGAACUACAACGCCGAUGAGCCACCAUAGUCCUGUUUGUUUUCAAAAAUCGGACCCCCUCAUCCUGUCGCAUCUUUCUGACAUCUUCUUGGCCCCUAGGUUUCGUCGGAGCCGCCAUACGAACGAUGUCCGAACCACCGGAGCACCGGAGCUCAACCACUUCGCCGCUUUCCCUCCGGUCGUUGCUGCCGACCGCCGUCACCACCACCCGAAGGCCCUUGCCGAGCCGCACCUUCCCCGCCUCUCCGACGCCGCCGG